GACAGAGGGUGCAAACGUUGCUCGGAAUCACUGGGCGGAAAGGGCGUGUAGGCGGAUAGAUAAGUCGGGCGUGAAAUCCCCAGGCUCAACCUGGGAACUGCACUCGAAACUGUUUAUCUUGAGUGCCGGAGAGGAAAGCGGAAUUCCUGGUGUAGAGGUGAAAUUCGUAGAUAUCAGGAGGAACACCAGUGGCGAAGGCGGCUUUCUGGACGGUAACUGACGCUGAGACGCGAAAGCGUGGGGAGCAAACAGG
rnacentral:rRNA from 1 species